UGGUGGGGUAACGGCCUACCAAGGCGACGACGGGUAGCUGGCGUGAGAGCGUGGCCAGCCACACUGGGACUGAGACACGGCCCAGACUCCUACGGGAGGCAGCAGUGGGGAAUCUUGCGCAAUGGGCGAAAGCCUGACGCAGCGACGCCGCGUGGGGGAUGAAGGCCUUCGGGUUGUAAACCCCUUUCGGCAGGGAAGAAGCGAAAGUGACGGUACCUGCAGAAGAAGCCCCGGCUAACUACGUGCCAGCAGCCGCGGUAAGACGUAGGGGGCGAGCGUUGUCCGGAUUUAUUGGGCGUAAAGCGCGCGUAGGCGGUCCGUUAAGUCGGAUGUGAAAAUCCGGGGCUCAACCCCGGACCUGCAUCCGAUACUGGCGGGCUGGAGACAGGUAGGGGAGAUCGGAAUUCCUGGUGUAGCGGUGAAAUGCGCAGAUAUCAGGAGGAACACCGGUGGCGAAGGCGGAUCUCUGGGCCUGUCCUGACGCUCAGGCGCGAAAGCUAGGGGAGCAAACAGGAUUAGAUACCCUGGUAGUCCUAGCUGUAAACGUUGGGUGCUAGGUGUGGGGCGGCGU
rnacentral:rRNA from 1 species